rnacentral:lncRNA from 1 species
CUGUAAAACCAACAACUGUUAUUUGUGAUGGGUAAAUGAAACCUCCCUAUUGAAAUCCACGAUGCUGAAAGAGAAAAGGAGAGCCAUUGAUGUCAUUCCCUGAUAGAGAUGCUGGGCUACCUGGGUCUUUGGUAGGCUGCAGCAGGGAUCUUCCCAUGAGCUCCUCCUAACCCUCAAGUAAUGCAAAGGGGGAAGGGACAUCCUCAGUCAAGCCAGAGCUUAGGAGAACUACAUUUAUGGGCUACAAGAGGGACCAGACAGGCUGGGGGAUACCAGAAGUCGUAGAGUCAUUUUUCUCAUGCUCUGAGACACAAACAGUGUCUUAAAACUUACUGACACAACAGGACAGUGUCAUUGGGGCUACAUGGUCACGGGCUUGAGACAUUCGUUCUGUGCCCUCAAAACCACUUUUUAUAGAGGAAACACAGCAGACGCAACUUCUCACCUCUCUGUCCUUUCCCCAAUCCAGUCAUCUGACCUCUUCUCCAACCAUUGUGGGGAAUGUUUGGCAACAGGGUUUGGAAACAGGAAGUGAAGUGAGGUUGCCAUAGACUCCAUUAGCAACUCAUGGUGGGAUCUCAGCCUAGAUAAGACUCAAAGACGACCUUGAUCAGCUGACCCAUGGUCAUCUACAACCAGAUUUGGCCCACAGUCUUCUGGCUGCCGACCACUAGUUUUCACUAAGGAAAUAUUCUUGCCCAUAGAUGUCAGCUGAAUGAAACCGACUUCCCCAACUGACAGGCUGGUUUUGUAAACCCAUUUACAUAAUUGCAUCAGGCUUGCGGCUCUAACAACUUCAAGGAACUUCCAGUCUUCCAAAGACUUUCCUCCUCGAGACAAACAUUGUAAAAGAACUCUGAAACAUGGAGGAUGCAGACGGAUAUAUGAGUAUUGACCCAAAGAAGAGGGAAUUGUAUAUAGCACCACCUCCCAAAGAGACCAAAGAUUCCUGCUUGAAUUCUCUCUGGUGGAAAAUUGGUUUUGGCAUUUCGCUGGCAGGAAACGUUGCUCUGGCCUUCGUUCUCAUCUUUGUGUCAUUCUCCUCUCCAGCUUCACAGGGUAUUUCUUAUGCUAAACUCCCACACAACCAGAUCCGGAGCUGCCUGCUAAACUGUGUUCCCUGUAUAUCCGCUAAGGACAGCAUCACAGGUAACCCUAGCUUUUUAUCAGGGAGCAGCAAUGCAUUUGCUCCUCUCUUUCUUAUGAUUUCAAGGAUUUCCAGAAUGUGGGAGUAGAACUGAACUUCAAGCAAGGAAGUGACUGAGAUGAGGUAAAUCACGGCAUGAUCCUACAUCUAAAUUUAUUCAAAGCAUACUCAUUUGAAAUUGAUGAAAGCAAGAAUGGCAACAAAACCAGGGUGAGUGGAUUUGAAACAGACAGACAGACAGAAAGACAGACAGACAAUUCAGGAAUAUCUGUCGCUCCAGUGUAACACCUACUAAAAUGUACAAUAGGAAAGAAUUAAAAACCAUAUUGAAUACAACACUUCAUUUAAUCAUACUGUGUUUAAUGUGGGUUAAUGAUAGAAGAGGUCUCCCAAACAGCAUGUUGCUUCAUUUCCCUUUUUUGUCCGUAGGGGACACAACAUCAUUGGAUUUAUAGGGACUAGCAGUCAAAUUCUCUAACAUUAAAAUGUGCCACCAUCCAAUAAAUCACACUUCUCCCUUGAGUUGCA